GACGAACGCUGGCGGCGUGCUUAACACAUGCAAGUCGAACGGAAAGGCCCUGCUUGCAGGGUACUCGAGUGGCGAACGGGUGAGUAACACGUGGGUGAUCUGCCCUGCACUUCGGGAUAAGCCUGGGAAACUGGGUCUAAUACCGGCUAGGAGCCAUUUUUAGUGUGAUGGUUGGAAAGUUUUUUCGGUGUAGGAUGAGCUCGCGGCCUAUCAGCUUGUUGGGGGGGUAAUGGCCUACCAAGGCGGCGACGGGUAGCCGGCCUGAGAGGGUGGACGGCCACAUUGGGACUGAGAUACGGCCCAGACUCCUACGGGAGGCAGCAGUGGGGAAUAUUGCACGAUGGGCGCAAGCCUGAUGCAGAGAGGCCGCGUGGGGGAUGACGGCCUUCGGGUUGUAAACCACUUGCGCUAGGGACGAAGCUUUUUGUGACGGUACCUAGAUAAGAAGCACCGGCUAACUACGUG
rnacentral:rRNA from 1 species